CGGUGCGGUCUCAGAAAUGGGACACAGGAAGGGUACGUAAGUCCACAUAACAGCACAUAACGGCAGUGCGCUCAGCUAAGUGCGCUUAAGCGCUCAUCCCGAUGCGGUCUCUGAAAUGAGACACAGCCUAGGGCUGUGUCCGAAAUGUCAUACUGCCUACUGUCUACUUACCUACUCAAUCAGUACAUACUGCAUACUGAAUACUCAAAGAUGAUUUGAGUAUGCCGCGGCUGCCCUAGCGUUUACAUACGGAUGCAUACUAAAUACCCCAGAAUGCAUUUCGUGCCGGCCGGACGCAGCGCCAGGAAAAUUUAAAUAGUCCUACCACAAGCUACACAAUACAACUGCAUUCCGGACAAAUUAUAUAAAUUCAUUCAGUAGCCUAAUAAUAUUUUUUCUAGCGAGAAAGUAAGUGUUUACAUCACGAUUAUGUACCCAGUUGUUUGAAAUAGCGGCAGUUUGUAAAUUUGUCUCGGCGUUUUCAGAGACCGAAGUGUCCGCUUGGUGGGUGUUUGCAUCUACGUACCGUAAACACCGGGCAGCAGCUAACCACUACCACGCUUGAAAAAGGGGCGUGGGUAAUGAGACCGAAUAUUAAGCACGCUUAGCAUUUAGUGCCAAAUGGGAUUCCGUUCGCGCUGUGUGAUGACCUCACGCACACUUCAAAUGCGCCGUUCGACAGUGUGGUCUCUGAAAUGAGACAUGGCCUGAGUAUUCAGUAUAUGAAUACUAAGUGUUAAACUAAAUAGCUUAACACUAAGGUGUCAUGGUAUGUGUAGUUUUACUUCCUACCACAGGGUGUCAGCAGGGUUCCUUACUAAUGAAUGGUUUACAUGGUAGAUAAAAGAUUUAGAGUAGACAUGACGGAAGACGCAUGUAACAAUAUGCUCCGUGUUAAAUAAAAUACAACGUUGCUGAACAAUGUUCUUUUAUUUCAACAAAAAGAAUAAACCAUGGUACCAGGAGUGAACAGAGUAAACUGAGUGAGGCUACGGCUGGAAAAGCUGACUGCAACGCCAAGAAAUCAACGAUGAUGGAGUUAAAACCACCGGAGCACCUGAAGUUGAAUGGGAAUGUCGACGGCAAUUGGUGCACUUUUCAGCAGUAGUUUCAGCUCUACAUCGACGCAAUGGGGCUGGACUCGACACUGAAUGCCAGAAAGGUAGCUUUACUACUAACUGUAGCUGGGCCACAAGCCAUUGAAGUGUACAAUACUUUCGUUUAUGAGGAGGGAGAAGACCACUCAAAGUUGGACAUUGUGUUUGCCAAGUUCGAAGCUCAUUGUUCUCCUAAGAAAAACGAGACAUACAAGAGAAAUGUAUUUCGUUCGAGAUUGUGUUUGGCGUAGAAGAUAAGAAGGUUAGGGAAAGACUGCUAAGAGAAACUGAACUGAAGCUAGAAGUAGCAGUGAAGAUUUGCCAUGCUAGCGAACUUAGCAAAAAGCACGUGCAGACUUUCCUUGAAGUAGACUUGAAGUAGCAACUAGCCAUGUGAAUGUGAGGGAAACAGCAGAUGUUGGCGCCAUUUCCAAGCUGCAUGCUCAUCAAGGAAAGGCUAGUGGACAGAAAUGGGGCAAUUCCAGUGCAAACAAUGCGGCACACAGCACAAGCCAAAAGAAUGUACUGCCUUCGGUAAACAAUGCAGCAUCCGCCAGGACAAGAACCACUUCGCCAAACAGUGUUUUUCGAAAAGAAAAGAGAAACAGAGGAAAAUCGAUGAAUAUCGUAGAAGAUCCGGAUUCAGAUGACACAUUAUUUGUUGGUGUGG